AGCUUUGCUCAGUGGCAGCAUCGUAGCCAGUGAGGUUUAUUCGAGGCGUGAUUAUUGCUACUGAAAAAAAGGUAAGCAUGGUGGUGCACACGUGUAAUACUACCAUCAUUCUGGGAGGCUAAAGCAAGAG
rnacentral:snRNA from 1 species